rnacentral:lncRNA from 1 species
CUAAAAUGCAUAUGGAAUCUCAAGGGACCCUCAAGAGUGAAAAUAAUCUUGAUAAAGAAGAAUGUUGGAAGAAAAAAGAUUACUUCUACUUUUGGUCAAGAUGGAAUACCUGUCACUCUAUCCUCCUGCCUGAAGCAACUAAAAAACUGAACAACGUAGGUAAAACAAUGUCACUUAAGACACGGGCCAUCAGGCACUGAAGAACAGUAACUGCUGACCGAACAUGAAACAAAAGAGAGUUGCUGUAACAGAUUACAACAAAUCGGGUGGCUUUAAGACAACAGAAAUUCAUCAUCUCACCAUUUUGGAGGCCAGAAAUCCAAAAUCAAGAUGUUGGCAAGGCACCAUUUCCUCUAGAGGCUCUAGGAGAGAAUACCUUCCUUGUCUCUUCUAGCUCCUGGAAGCUGUCAACAUUACUCGACUUGUGGCUACAUCCCUCUCUGCCAUCUUCAUGUUGCCUUCUUCUGGUAUCUUCCUUUGUUUCUCUUACAAGGGCACUUGUGAUGGCAUUCAGGCCCCACUCAUAAUCUCAUCUCUAAAAUGCUUAAUUACAUCUGCAGAGACCCUUUUUCCAAAUAAAGUAAUAUUUACAAGUUCUCCAGGGAUUAGAGCUUGAUAUUUUGGGGUAGCCGUUUUUCAAUUAUACUUAUUUUCUACUUAAAAAAAAUUUCAUUUCA